rnacentral:rRNA from 1 species
AUUGAACGCUGGCGGCAUGCUUUACACAUGCAAGUCGAACGGCAGCACGGACUUCGGUCUGGUGGCGAGUGGCGAACGGGUGAGUAAUACAUCGGAACGUGCCCAGUUGUGGGGGAUAACUACUCGAAAGAGUAGCUAAUACCGCAUGAGAACUGAGGUUGAAAGCAGGGGAUCGUAAGACCUUGCGCAACUGGAGCGGCCGAUGGCAGAUUAGGUAGUUGGUGGGAUAAAAGCUUACCAAGCCGACGAUCUGUAGCUGGUCUGAGAGGACGACCAGCCAAACUGGGACUGAGACACGGCCCAGACUCCGACGGGAGGCAGCAGUGGGGAAUUUUGGACAAUGGGCGAAAGCCUGAUCCAGCAAUGCCGCGUGCAGGAUGAAGGCCUUCGGGUUGUAAACUGCUUUUGUACGGAACGAAAAGCUUCGGGCUAAUACCCUGGAGUCAUGACGGUACCGUAAGAAUAAGCACCGGCUAACUACGUGCCAGCCGCCGCGGUAACAC